rnacentral:rRNA from 1 species
UGCCAGACUCCUACGGGAGGCAGCAGUGAGGAAUAUUGGUCAAUGGGCGGGAGCCUGAACCAGCCAAGUCGCGUGAGGGAAGACGGUCCUAUGGAUUGUAAACCUCUUUUGUCGGGGAGCAAAGAGGCCUCGUGAGGUCAAAAGCGAGAGUACCCGAAGAAAAAGCAUCGGCUAACUCCGUGCCAGCAGCCGCGGUAAUACGGAGGAUGCGAGCGUUAUCCGGAUUUAUUGGGUUUAAAGGGUGCGUAGGCGGGACGGUAAGUCAGCGGUCAAAUUGCGGGGCUCAACCCCGUACUGCCGUUGAAACUGCAUCCCUUGAGUGCGCGAGAAGUAUGCGGAAUGCGUGGUGUAGCGGUGAAAUGCAUAGAUAUCACGCAGAACGCCGAUUGCGAAGGCAGCAUACCGGCGCCCAACUGACGCUGAGGCACGAAAGCGUGGGGAUCGAACAGGAUUAGAUACCCCCGUA